rnacentral:tRNA from 1 species
GGGGCCGUGGUUCAGUUGGGAGAACGUUACGCUGGCAGCGUAAAGGUCACGGGUUCAAAUCCCGUCGGCUCCA